rnacentral:rRNA from 1 species
AAUGAACGCUGGCGGCGUGCUUAACACAUGCAAGUCGAACGAGAAAGUCUCUUCGGAGACGAGUACAGUGGCGGACGGGUGAGAAACGCGUGAGAAUUUACCUUUUAGUGAAGAAUACCCUCGAGAAAUCGAGGCUAAUACUGCAUACGUCCCUACGGGGAGAAAGAUGGCCUCUUGCUGUCGCUGAAAGAUAAGCUCGCGUCCUAUUAGCUAGUUGGUGAGGUAAUGGCUCACCAAGGCGAUGAUGGGUAGCCGGCCUGAGAGGGUGUACGGCCACAUUGGGACUGAGAUACGGCCCAGACUCCUACGGGAGGCAGCAGUGGGGAAUAUUGCACAAUGGGCGAAAGCCUGAUGCAGCGACGCCGCGUGGAGGAUGAAGGUCUUCGGAUUGUAAACUACUAGUUAAGAGGGAAGAAAAGACGUGCGAGUAAUAUGCGCAUGUAAUGACGGUACCUCUAAAGAAAG